UUUGUUACUGAUUUCUUCUGUCCUUGUUUUAGUCUGGACAACUAAAUCAGUUAUUGACUAUAAGAAAUGUCUACUGUCCAAUUUAGUUAUGCAGUGGAAAGGGAAAAUGAUUUCUAUUGGUCACUUCUAAUUAAUGACAAGCUUCACUAAAAAAUAAGGAUUCAUAGCCUAGACCCAGUUUUUUUACCUUUAAGAAUGUUUGUUGUUAAUUAUUUUUAUAUCAGAAUUUGAUUUGUUUGAAGGUUACAUGAUAUUUUCUAAUUAGAAGUUAUUAUUCAGUAAGACGCAUAUUAGUUGUUUUGGUUGCUUUUUAAGUAAAUUUAGGAAUUAGUAUGGUUUUGAUAUUUUUGUCUGACUGACUGAAUAAGUUUUUAGCUUACCUUGCUCAGUAUUGCUGAUCAUAAUAAGCAAGUAUUUUGACAUCUUUAGAAGCUAAGUAUUUGUUUUAUUGGAAGUACAGACUCCAAACCAAUCAACAUUUUGUGUCUUGUUUCUAUAAGGUUGUAUUUUUGCUGGCAAGACAUAAGCACAUGACUUCCAUUUUAUUUUUUAAGCAGUUUUGUCUGGACGCACAAUAUCUGAGGGCAGUUGAAAGUAGCACAAGGUUAUAAAAGCACCCAUUUUGGAGAGGCUGCCAUAUUGACUGUACUGAUGUAAAGCUUUUGUGAAACGUUGUAAAUCUAUUUUAUGUUAUCCAUCACAGUCAUUUCACUUCUAUUUGUAAUUUGGUAGUUUAGACAUUAAGGAGAGUUCGUCAUAUUUGUCAGUGAAGUAAGAUCAUCACUUUUCAGUUAUAUGUCAUCAAAUCAAACCAAAUGUGGGAAACAUUCUCCACCUGGCAUCUAGAGGAAAGGGAGCUCCUCCACUAAUUGCUCUGCUAAGCCCUGUGGUAGGUUGGGGAAAGGCCCACAAGUAGGGUAGAAUUUAAUGCCUACUCCAGUCUUUUCUCUGAUGUAACAAAACAACUGGAAAUAAAGGAGUGAUCAAGAGAAGUUGUCCAGAAGCCUGAUGUCUGCAGCAAAAGGAGGGUUUGACACUUGAAAUACUGCAAAGGCAGAAUUCCAGAUGGCCAUUUUUUAAUAAGAAAUGAAAGUACACUCAUUUUUAUCAAGUGGUGUCACCAGUUAUUAUCAGUUACAAUUUGCUGACUGCAAAGUGGAUCUUGAAUAAACUGAAGGCAUGGUUCAUGUCCCCAUAAAGAGUAAGUAAUAAAUACCACUUGAACAAUGAACCACCAGUGUAGUUUAACAGUUUGUUACCCGCUGGGCAGCCAGUGCAUGGUGCUCUGCUUCCUGAUGUGUUGAAGUGUGAGGCAUAGCCCCUGCCUCCAGUUUGCUUUGCCAUCAUAUUCUUAACAAGACAAAUCUUAGUCACAGAUUUUCCUGAUUUAGGGCUAGUUUUCUGCUCCUGAAACUCCUCCCUUUAGUCUUUAUUGGACAUUGAAAAAAAAAACAACUGGUUUUUUAAGUGGCCCUUACACAUUUCAGGAAAAGAUACUGAAGGGUAAACUAAGAAAUGUGCCAUCUUUGUUUAGGAAAGUGCCCAAAUCCACAUUAAGUAUAUUUAAU